rnacentral:misc_RNA from 1 species
GGGUAUGUCAACAAAACUGAAUCUUCCAAUGUACAUAAACGAGAUAGGGAUCACUUGGUUGUUUCUUCCACCUCACAUGAACAUGGUAAGGAUCAGUUGCUUGUUUGGCCAUGGAUGGGAAUUAUUGCUAAUAUCCAAACUCAGUUUCAAGAUGGCCGUCGUGUUGGGGAAAGUGGUGCAAAACUUAGGGAUGAACUAACAAGAAAGGGG